rnacentral:rRNA from 1 species
CUCGUAGUUGGAUUUCGGAUGGGACUUGCCGGUCCGUCGUUACGAUGUGUACUGGCCAGUCCUAUCUUGUUGUCGGGGACUAGCUUCUGACUUAAUUGUCCGGGACUAGGAGCUGACGAGGUUACUUUGAGUAAAUUAAAGUGUUCAAAGCAAGCCUACGCUCUGAAUACAUUAGCAUGGAAUAACACGAUAGGACUCUGGCUUAUCUAGUUGGUCUGUGAGACCAGAGUAAUGAUUUGAGGGACAGUCGGGGACAUUCGUAUUGCAUUGUCAGAGGUGAAAUUCUAGGAUUUAUGCAAGACGAACUUCUGCCAAGGCAUUUGUCAAGGAUGUUUUCAUUAAUCAAGAACGAAAGUUGGGGGCUCGAAGACAAUUAGGUAGCGUCCGACUCUCAACCAUAAACGAUGCCUACUAGGGAUUGGCAGAAGUUCUUUUGAUGACUCUGCCCCCACCUUAUGAGAAAUCAAAAUUUUUGGGUUCCGGGGG